rnacentral:rRNA from 1 species
AUGGAUCUUAAAAAAAAGAAGCCUUUCACACUGAUGCAUUGCUAUGUAGAGUUUUCGAAGUAUCCAAAGUGGCAGACAAGAGAAGUUGAAACUUCUCUUAAGAAACAAAAGAAGACCAUUGAUGCAAGUCCGGGCACAGCCACCAAUGAUCCGGAUGAUGCAUCCUCGGUACGUACUGAUGCUACCUCGAUACACACUGAUGCUCUUGAACAUGAGAAAAGACCUGAUGGUGUGAAGAGGGACAAGAGAGGUAAAGCUGAUGACAGUGCUUGCAAGCUGUCAUUAGAAACUGUGUGGGCAGCAAAGCUAGAGAAGGAUGAGAUCAAAGAGGCGGCAAGAAAUGCUCGCUAUGCACAGCAAUUGGAAUUGUGA